rnacentral:lncRNA from 1 species
UGAGGGAGAGGGACCUAGACUUUUUAAAGGGCACUUCUGACAUCAUUUUGAGUUUUCAAGUAUGUUAAUGAAUUAUCUAUUCACGUUAUUAAAUUAAAUCCAAUCCACUUGCCCCUAGGAGCCAGCCAAGGUGUGCUGACCUCUUGCCAUUGAAUUUCUACCUUGGAGGCUUCCUAGAUGUAUUUGAAUGGAAUCUAUAUUGUUAAGUCUUGGGCCAUUGCUCAGGCAUCUCAUGAAGUCACUGGAAGAUACUAUCACCUAAAAAGACCCAGUCAGGAUGUUAUGAGAAGAAAUGAGCUGGAUCUUCACAACUGUUUUCCUUUCCUACCCACUACUAAGAGAACCUGUGGAGAAAUACCUGUAAUCCAUGUCUUUAAGGAGCUCACUGUUUACAACAGAAAAGAGACAGAGCACAUGUAUACCGACAAAAAUAAUAGUGAGAUAAGCAUACACUAAACCAUCAACAAGAACCAAGUCGUGUGGUAGGACUAUACUGCAUGUAGGAGCAGAGCCGUUGUCUAGGUCUGUGGGAGCCCACCCACAUCCCGUUGCCAGAACUGCUCACCUUGCCUGCCACAGCCCUCGGACUGGCCCACCUGAGUCUGUGCCCAGAGCCCUCUGUCCCACCCACCAGAACAAUGGGAGUGGCUGGGUGUGGGCUGCCGUUGUGCACAUGGGAGCCUGGGACACUUGAUGCAUUAAAUCAUUAACCUUCAGC